UUUCGCAAUGCCCGAAAGGGUGACGAAGCGACGCCGCGUGAGUGAGGAAGGCCUUCGGGUUGUAAAGCUCUGUCAGGAGUUAAGAAAUAUAAGUGUGCUAAUACCACAUUUAUUUGACAAAAGCUCCAAAGGAAGCCACGGCUAACUCUGUGCCAGCAGCCGCGGUAAUACAGAGGUGGCAAGCGUUGUUCGGAAUUAUUGGGCGUAAAGAGCACGUAGGUGGGUUUGUAAGUCAGAUGUGAAAGCCUUCUGUUCAACGGAAGAAUUGCAUCUGAAACUGCGAGUCUUGAGUGUAGGAGGGGAGAAUGGAACUUCUGGUGGAGCGGUGAAAUGCGUAGAUAUCAGAAGGAACGCCGGCGGCGAAAGCGAUUCUCUGGCCUAUUACUGACACUCAGUGUGCGAAAGCUAGGGGAGCAAGCGGGAUUAGAUACCCCGAUAGUCCUAGCUGUAAACGAUGGGCACUAAGUAGAGGGGUUUUA
rnacentral:rRNA from 1 species